rnacentral:rRNA from 1 species
GUGCCAGCAGCCGCGGUAAUACGGAAGGGGCAAGCGUUGUUCGGAAUCAUUGGGCGUAAAGGGCGCGUAGGUGGUCUUGUGUGUCUAUCGUGAAAGCACACGGCUCAACCGUGUAAAGUCGGUGGAAACUGCAGGACUUGAGGUUGGGAGGGGCUGGUGGAAUUCCCUGUGUAGCGGUGAAAUGCGUAGAGAUGGGGGAGAACACUUGUGGCGAAGGCGGCCAGCUGGACCAAUCCUGACACUGAGGCGCGACAGCGUGGGGAGCAAACAGGAUUAGAUACCCUGGUAGUCC